rnacentral:rRNA from 1 species
UACGAAGGGGGCUAGCGUUGCUCGGAAUCACUGGGCGUAAAGGGUGCGUAGGCGGGCCUUUAAGUCAGGGGUGAAAUCCUGGAGCUCAACUCCAGAACUGCCUUUGAUACUGAGGAUCUUGAGUUCGGGAGAGGUGAGUGGAACUGCGAGUGUAGAGGUGAAAUUCGUAGAUAUUGGGAAGAACACCGGUGGCGAAGGCGGCGACCUGGUCCGAUACUGACGCUGAGGCGCGAAAGCGUGGGGAGCAAACAGG